rnacentral:rRNA from 1 species
GGAAUCUUGCGCAAUGGGCGAAAGCCUGACGCAGCAACGCCGCGUGGGGGAUGAAGGCCUUCGGGUUGUAAACCCCUUUCAGGAGGGAAGAAAUUGACGGUACCUCCAGAAGAAGGACCGGCCAACUACGUGCCAGCAGCCGCGGUAAUACGUAGGGUCCGAGCGUUAUCCGGAAUCCUUGGGCGUAAAGAGCUCGUAGGCGGUUCAGCAAGUCGGCUGUGAAAGUCCGAGGCUCAACCUCGGAAUUGCAGUCGAUACUGCUGUGACUCGAGUCCGGUAGAGGAGAAUGGAAUUCCCGGUGUAGCGGUGAAAUGCGCAGAUAUCGGGAGGAACACCUGCGGCGAAGGCGGGUUGCUGGGCUGACACUGACGCUGAGGCGCGAAAGCUAGGGGAGCGAAC